rnacentral:misc_RNA from 1 species
UGGAGCCUUUGAGGUUUUUCUACGCUACUUCGCAAUCCACAUACGUAUGUUUAAUGGUCCUGCAAACGCUUGGCUAUGUUUUGUACCUCUUGUUGUUGUUGAUGUACUUGAUUCUGGUGUUUUCAACUGAAUCUGGGCUGGGCUCAAAAUUGCUGGGUCUGGGCCAGAUCUUCGUAGGCUUAGCUGUUGGGCUUCAUUUCUACGUAGCAGUGUUCCACAGGGUGGUCUUGCACCAGCCACCCAAGGCUACUUGGAAGGUUCAUGGGAUUUACGCCACGUGUUUUCUUGUGAUUUGCUUAUUUGCUAAAUUUGACAGAAGAAAGAAGGCCUACUUGGAGGAUGGUGGUGAAGAGGGCAAAAAGAAUUAGUGCAUAAUUUUUUUUAUUUAUUUUUAAAGAAAUGUAAUAAAUUAUAAAUCCCUCUCUCUUUUUAUUUUUAUUUUUGUUUGCCUUCCGUGGGUUUACUAUAAUGCCAUUGGCGAAGUAACAAUGGUGUUAUUAUAGAAUAGAAAAUUUUUUCUAUAUUAAAUUUCAUAUAAUCUUUGUUUAUUAUAAAUAUUAUAAAUAAAAAUAUGUAAAAAAUGCAAAAAUAUAUCAUAAAUGUUAUAAUUUUG